CCUACGGGGGGCUGCAGUGGGGAAUAUUGCACAAUGGGCGCAAGCCUGAUGCAGCCAUGCCGCGUGUGUGAAGAAGGCCUUCGGGUUGUAAAGCACUUUCAGCGGGGAGGAAGGCGUUAAGGUUAAUAACCUUGGCGAUUGACGUUACCCGCAGAAGAAGCACCGGCUAACUCCGUGCCAGCAGCCGCGGUAAUACGGAGGGUGCAAGCGUUAAUCGGAAUUACUGGGCGUAAAGCGCACGCAGGCGGUCUGUCAAGUCGGAUGUGAAAGCCCCGGGCUCAACCUGGGAACUGCAUUCGAAACUGGCAGGCUAGAGUCUUGUAGAGGGGGGUAGAAUUCCAGGUGUAGCGGUGAAAUGCGUAGAGAGCUGGAGGAAUACCGGUGGCGAAGGCGGCCCCCUGGACAAAGACUGACGCUCAGGUGCGAAAGCGUGGGGAGCAAACAGGAUUAGAUACCCUAGUAGUC
rnacentral:rRNA from 1 species